UUGGCGCUCCCAGUGCCGCGCUCUCCUGAGUGAGCCACAGGGCCGGCCCUUAAUUUUUUUUAAAGACAGUAUAUAAUGGAAAUUGUACCAUCCAAUCCGAGGGGAAGUGUUUUAAUUUUUAGAUAGCAUGAAAUGUAAGACCACUCAUUUAAACAGUCCUUUUUUAAAAAAUAGGACUUGGUACUGUGAGACGUUGCUAAUAUGUUCUUACGGUAAUGGGUGCCACAAAUAGAAAAUAUCACUGAAUCAGGGACUUGAAUGCACUUUUGCCUGUAUUGAAUAUAGACUGAGAGAGGAAAAUGUAUUUAAAAGAAACAUGAGAAAAGAAUGUGAAAGUUUUACAGGUAGAGGGGUGGAAUGUAAUGUUUAAUGUAGAUGUCAUGGAGUGACAAAAUGGCUUUGCUGGCACUCAAAGCUCCUCACUUAGCUAUUUUCUGAGACGUCAAGAGUUAUGAGGUCUGACUGUAAAACUAGCAUACACACUAAAUGAGUGUUACAUCCUCAAAAUAGUGAAGUUAAGGCUUCACACUAAUUCCAGUGAUAUAGCUUUUAUGAAAAAUAUUUUUAGAAUUCCAGUUUUCAAAUCCAUGUUUGGAUCUACAUUCACUUUUUAAAUAUACUUAAUGGUAAUCAUUUUUUUCUCUUUUAGAAUAUAGUUAAUUUGAGGAGGGAAAACUUAUUCUGAAUAAUAACGGUAGUAGUAAAAAGGGGAACAGUUUUUGCCCAUUUGAAAUGUGGAAGUGAAACACACAAAAUAAGACAGAUUUUUAUGACUAACUCAGAAAGAAAUUCCAAAAUAUGAAUUCGAAUAGCAGCAUUACUGGUUUAUGUGUUUAGCAAAGGAAACACUGACUCUGAUAAAUAAAAUAAACAUCUGGUAUUUUUGUUUUAAAAUACUCUAUUUUAUACUCACACUUUAAGUCAAGCAUUAUGUUAGGUUCCCAUAUGUUUAGGAUAUAAUUUUUAACUAUUAUUACCUGAUUUAAUCAUUAAAUUUAAAAUUCUUUGCCAUGAUAUAUAUGUUCAAAUUCAAACCAUUUUAAAAUGUGAUGAAUGAACUUCACCCAAGUUGGCAACAGUUCUGGUACUAAAAACCGUGGUUGUUUCUUCUGUUUACGUAACCUGCUUAGCAUUGAAUCCCUCCUUACCACGAGGGUUUUUCCUAAGAAGAGUGCUGUUAUUAUUUACCCUUAAUGUCUACAACCCGUGACAUGAGAUUUUUAAAGGUCUUUAUGUGAACUAUGAUAUUGUAAUUUUUGUAAGCAUUUUAAAAAGGGUAACAAAAGUAUGUUUAUAUACUAAUUCUGAUCAGAACAUUAAGCACAGAAAAAUUGAUGGUAUUCAUUAGGUUUUAAGUGAAUGAAGUAGUUCCUUAUAAUAACCAUUGUACAGUAAGGAUAAAACACUAACUCAUUGUGUAUUCAUUUAAAAUUGUAUGUAUUUUUAAAUUGCCAGAAAAAAAGAAAAAAAAAACUUUGUACAUUUGAAGAUUUUUUUUCAACAGCUUUUCAUCUUCAGUGUCUUAAUAUGGAACUUAACCCUUACCAAAAAAGGAAGUUGGCAAAACAGCCUCCUGGCACAAACACUUUUUUAAUAAUGGUAGCCUAAAACUUAAUAUUUUUAUAAAGUAUUAUAAUAUUGUUUUGUGGAUAAUUGAAAUAAAAAUUCUCAUUGAAUGCA